UACGUAGGGUGCAAGCGUUGUCCGGAAUUAUUGGGCGUAAAGAGCUUGUAGGCGGUUUGUCGCGUCUGCUGUGAAAUUUCGGGGCUCAACCCCGAACUUGCAGUGGGUACGGGCAGACUAGAGUGUGGUAGGGGAGACUGGAAUUCCUGGUGUAGCGGUGAAAUGCGCAGAUAUCAGGAGGAACACCCGUGGCGAAGGCGGCUCUCUGGAACGCAACUGACGCUGAGACGCGAAAGCGUGGGGAGCAAACAGG
rnacentral:rRNA from 1 species